GUACUUGCUUCGGCGUACAUAUACUAAAAUCUGGAAAACGAUAGAGUAGAUUAGCAUGGACCUGCGCAAGGAUGACACGCAAAAUCGUGGGAAGCGUGUCCACAAUUAU